GAUUCACCAUAUCGGGGUCUGCCUCCACAUCAUCAGUCGCAGCAACUGCGAUCGCGCAUCGUCCGCUGGUCAAUGAACCACAGUGACGAACAGUCAGUUCACGAUUGGAGGCGAACGGGGGCAGCAGCCGCAAGAGUGACCCAAAUCCAUAUAAUGCUGCUGGGGUUGUGCGCUUCCGCGUGUCUUGCUGAUCGCUGUUUAGCUUUUUAAGGUAUUUUCUCAUUGACCGUGCGUAUAGUUCGCUGCGCCCGCAUGUGGGGUCCAUACCCACAAGUGGCCGCAGAGCAGAGUACCCAGAGCGGAAGAACAACAGAUGAAGAUGGCCUUAUAUGGUUCGGACAUCACAUCGGAGGCCAAUCAUGGUGCGGUGAAGGCUCGUCGGUUGACCAAAUCCAACUUCUGCUAUCCAAACACUCGUUCCGUUGGACAAUGUUCCUGGCUGGACAAACUUGGACAGAGCGGGACAGGCAGGAAUGAUUAAUUGUGGUCGAUGCGUUUUUAAUAAUGGCCCGUCGAUAAUAAUGGCGGUGGGAAACGCGUGCUCGACGAAAUGUCGCCAUUGAUCACGUUUCCGGUGUGCCGUCGUCAUGUAGAUACGGGAACGAUACUUCAUCUCAUAGCUCCUAUGUUCAUCCCAUCGAAAGCAAAGCAAUGAAAAGAAAUUUAUUUCUUAUUUUUGUGAUUUUUUUAAGCACUGGACAUACAAAAGAAGCGAGGUUGG